GACGAGGGUCCGAGCGUUGUCCGGAAUUACUGGGCGUAAAGAGCUCGUAGGUGGUUUGUCGCGUUGUUCGUGAAAACUCACAGCUCAACUGUGGGCGUGCGGGCGAUACGGGGCAGACUGGAGUACUGCAGGGGAGACUGGAAUUCCUGGUGUAGCGGUGGAAUGCGCAGAUAUCAGGAGGAACACCGGUGGCGAAGGCGGGUCUCUGGGCCAUUACUGACACUGAGAAGCGAAA
rnacentral:rRNA from 1 species